UGCCCGGUAGUGUAAUGGUAACACACAAGAAUUUGGGUCUUGGUUUUGAGGUUCGAAUCCUCACCGGGCAG
rnacentral:tRNA from 1 species